rnacentral:lncRNA from 1 species
AGAGAGAGAAGGAGGGAUAGAGAGAGGGAGAGGGAUAGAGAAAGAAGGAGGAGAUUUAAAGAAGAGUGAAAGAGUGAAAAAUAGUGAGAGAGCGAGAGACAGAGAGAGAGCGAGUCCUCUAGGUAUCCUCUAGCUGUCCUCUAGGUAUCCUCUAGGUAUCCUCUAGCUGUCCUCUAGGUAUCCUCUAGCUGUCCUCUAGGUAUCCUCUAGGUAUCCUCUAGGUGUCCUCUACUCUAGGUGUUCUCUAGGUAUCCUUUAGCUGUCCUCUAGGUAUCCUUUAGCUGUCCUCUAGGUAUCCUCUAGGUAUCCUCUAGGUGUCCUCUACUCUAGGUGUUCUCUAGGUAUCCUUUAGGUGUUCUCUAGGUAUCCUCUAGCUGUCCUCUAGGUAUCCUCUAGCUGUCCUCUAGGUAUCCUCUAGGUAUCCUCUAGGUGUCCUCUAGGUAUCCUCUAGGUAUCCUCUAGCUGUCCUCUAGGUAUCCUCUAGGUAUCCUCUAGGUGUCCUCUAGCUAUCCUCUAGGUACUUUCCCCAGCCCAGCUCUCUUUCAUCAGUGCAGAUCAAGGAAAGGAGUUGAAUCAGAAGAAGAGACAAAACGGGUGUGUCUCAAAUGUAACCCUUUUCACUUCAUAGUGCCCUACUUUUGACCCCCGAACUUUAACCUUGGUCAAAAGUUGUGCACUAUGAAUAAGGUCCCAUUUGGAACGCAGACAAUACUGUAUGUCUAGGCUAUUGACACGCACCUAGAGGGGGAUUGACAUAUAGAUAAUUGAAGAGGUUCAUCCACAGGAGGAUAAAACAGAGUGGUACAGGAGGAUAAAACAGAGCGGUACAGGAGGAUAAAACAGAGCGGUACAGGAGGAUAAAACAGAGCGGUACAGGGGGAUAAAACAGAGCGGUACAGGAGGAUAAAACAGAGCGGUACAGGAGGAUAAAACAGAGCGGUACAGGAGGAUAAAACAAGGGUACAGGAGGAUAAAACAGAGCGGUACAGGAGGAUAAAACAGCGGUAGAGGAGGAUAAAACAGAGCAGUACAGGAGGAUAAAACAGAGCGGUACAGGAGGAUAAAACAGAGCAGUACAGGAGGAUAAAACAAGGGUACAGGAGGAUAAAACAGAGCUGUACAGGAGGAAAGAGAAGAACGGGGGAUUUUACACAGAAAGAAAGAGGAUGAAGAGAGGACAGGAAUUCAGUUUCGAAGGUUUCUCAUAACACAACUGAAAAGGGAAGAAGUUAUUUACUCCACUUCAAAUAUGAACCAGUUUCCUUCCAAUGCAUGAUCACAUGGGGGUGUGGCCCAAUUGUCACACUAUUCACUAUAUAGUGCACUCAUUUUGAACAGGGCCCAUUUGGGCUCUGGUCAAAAGUAGUGUACUAUAUAGGGAAUGGGGUGCCAUUUCGGACUCACCC